ACGAACGCUGGCGGCAGGCCUAACACCUGCAAGUCGAACGAAGUCUUCGGACUUAGUGGCGCACGGGUGAGUAACACGUGGGAAUAUACCUUACGCUGGGGGAUAACAUCGGGAAACUGAUGCUAAUACCGCAUACGCCCUUCGGGGGAAAGAUUUAUCGGCGAAAGAUUAGCCCGCGUCCGAUUAGCUAGUUGGUGAGGUAAUGGCUCACCAAGGCUCCGAUCGGUAGCUGGUCUGAGAGGAUGACCAGCCACACUGGGACUGAGACACGGCCCAGACUCCUACGGGAGGCAGCAGUGGGGAAUAUUGGACAAUGGGCGCAAGCCUGAUCCAGCCAUGCCGCGUGAGUGAUGAAGGCCUUAGGGUUGUAAAGCUCUUUCACCCACGACGAUGAUGACGGUAGUGGGAGAAGAAGCCCCGGCUAACUUCGUG
rnacentral:rRNA from 1 species